GCUACCGCUAUUGGAGUUCGAUUAAGCCAUGCGAGUCUAGAGGCCUAGCCUCGGCGUACCGCUCAGUAACACGUGGGUAACCUACCCUAUGCUGGGGAAUAAGCUCGGGAAACUGAGAAUAAUACCCCAUAGUCCACUACGCCUGGAACGGUGAGUGGAUCAAAGCUCCGGCGGCAUAGGAUGGGCCUGCGGCGUAUCAGGUUGUAGGGGGUGUAAUGUACCCUCUAGCCAUCCACGCGUACGGGUGUUGGGAGACAUUGCCCGGAGAUGGAUUCUGAGACACGAAUCCAGACCCUACGGGGUGCAGCAGGCGCGAAAACUUGGCAAUGCGAGAAAUCGUGACCAGGGAACUCCAAGUGGCAGGGGUAAGACCCUGUCUUUUUCCGACUCUAAAUAGGUCGGCGAAUAAGGGGUGGGUAAGGACGGUGCCAGCCGCCGCGGUAAUACCGGCGCCUCAAGUGGUAGUCGCUUUUAUUGGGCCUAAAACGUCCGUAGCCGGUCUGGUACAUUCGUGGGUAAAUCAACUCGCUCAACGAGUUGAAUUCUGCGAGGACGGCCAGACUUGGGACCGGGAGAGGUGUGGGGUACUCUCAGGGUAGGGGUAAAAUCCUGUCAUCCUGAGAGGACCACCUGUUGCGAAGGCUCCACACUAGAACGGAUCCGACGGUCAGGGACGAAGCCUAGGGGCACGAACCGGAUUAGAUACCCGGGUAGUCCUAGGUGUAAACGCUGUGGACUUGAUGUUGGGGACGCUCCGAGCGUUCUCAGUGUCGAAGCGAA
rnacentral:rRNA from 1 species